AAGACUAUAGACCUGCGGAGUACCUGCGGAGGGAUCAUUACUGGGUUUUUGGGCUCUGCCCGCCACCCGCCCUCUGUUAUUCGUGACUAUUGUCUCGGCCCCCUCAAAAGGGCCGGCAGUAACUCUGAAGCAUCUUGAAGUCUGAUAAACUGUCAAUAAAAAAAAACUUUCAACAACGGAUCUCU
rnacentral:misc_RNA from 1 species